ensembl:lncRNA
GGAUGAACUCACCGAGGAAGUGAUUUACGGGGAGAAGAAUGCAGAAAGCGGCAGGCUAGAGCAUGAGGCUAGUGUGGAGGGGAAGACCACAGUUCCAAGGAGGAAGAGGAUCCCCACCACAGUGAGUGAUCGGUGGACACUGAAACGGAAGGAUGACUGGGAGGAUGAGCUGCGAUGGAAGCCAUGUAUGACGAUCUCUGGGUCCAUCCAUGUUGCUGCAAAUGGCAUGAUUUCGUUCUUUUUUAUGGCUGAGUACACAUAGCUGAUUCUAAGAAGAUGAUGGUCAGUGGUGGUUUGAUGGAUGGUGCAUAGAUAACCUCUUGGAGACCCAUCCACUGUCCACCUCACCACCAGCAGGUGAACCCUGUGCGUCCUCUUGCUCUUUCAGAGACUCUUAAGGUUGCUGCUGCUGCUGCUGCUGCUGCUAAGUCACUUCAGUCGUGUCCGACUCUGUGCGACCCCAUAGACCGCAACCUACCAGGCUCCCCCGUCCCUGGGAUUUUCCAGGCAAGAACACUGGAGUGGGUUGCCAUUUCCCUCUCCAGUGCAUGAAAGUGAAAAGUGAAAGCGAAGCCGCUCAGUCGUGUCCAACCCUCAGCAACCCCAUGGACUGCAGCCUUCCGGGCUCCUAUUGAGGUGAAUUUUUGGAAACAGUUCAUAUGGAAGACGAGGAUCUGGAAAUGAGUUCCCUUGAAACCAUCUGUACAGACAUGGCCCGUGGAACAUCCUUCUGUCCUCUCCCUGUUUGGAAGCUUCCACCCAGAGGUUCAGGGCCCAGGAGCUCUGUCUGAGAGAGCGCUAAGGGCAGAGGGUUUUCUUGGACCUGUUUUGUGUGCAAAGCACGUAUAAGUCAAAGCCUUUUUCCGCAAGUGAGGUUGGUUAAGCAGAGAAAAGACAGCGAGGUGUUUUGUUUGUCUGGAAUCCUAUGGGCUUGGAGGCACAAUCUGGUGUACAGCAGGCCAGAGGGUCUGGAGUUAGCUGUGAUAUCAGGUGUUCUAGAGAGACUCUUUUGGGUCUUUGGUGGCCAUUACCCUCUAAGCAUAGCUUCACAUGAUAGGAUGAAGUUUCUUUGCACUAACAGUGUCAGGAGCUGGAACUGGAGUUACAAGUCUAGUUUAAAGAGCUAUCCAAAGGUUUCCAUUUCUACUGGCUUGAGGGCAAAAGAGGUUGUUGGGGGGCUUGCCUUUGGCCUCUGAGCCCAAGGGAUUCCAAAUGAAUGCUCUGCAAAGGUAAGCCUGUAUCAUUCAGCUUUGUGCAUUCAUCCCCAUAGCUUGUGCAAGGCAGACAGUGUUCAAUAAAGAAAUAUUGUACCUGAGAAUAAAAUGGCAUUGUCCUUU